CAGGCUUAACACAUGCAAGUCGAGGGGCAGCAUGGUCUUAGCUUGCUAAGGCCGAUGGCGACCGGCGCACGGGUGAGUAACACGUAUCCAACCUGCCGUCUACUCUUGGACAGCCUUCUGAAAGGAAGAUUAAUACAAGAUGGCAUCAUGAGUCCGCAUGUUCACAUGAUUAAAGGUAUUCCGGUAGACGAUGGGGAUGCGUUCCAUUAGAUAGUAGGCGGGGUGACGGCCCACCUAGUCUUCGAUGGAUAGGGGUUCUGAGAGGAAGGUCCCCCACAUUGGAACUGAGACACGGUCCAAACUCCUACGGGAGGCAGCAGUGAGGAAUAUUGGUCAAUGGGCGAGAGCCUGAACCAGCCAAGUAGCGUGAAGGAUGACUGCCCUAUGGGUUGUAAACUUCUUUUAUAAAGGAAUAAAGUCGGGUAUGCAUACCCGUUUGCAUGUACUUUAUGAAUAAGGAUCGGCUAACUCCGUGCCAGCAGCCGCGGUAAUACGGAGGAUCCGAGCGUUAUCCGGAUUUAUUGGGUUUAAAGGGAGCGUAGAUGGAUGUUUAAGUCAGUUGUGAAAAGUUUGCGGCUCAACCGUAAAAAUUGCAGUUGAUACUGGAUAUCUUGAGUGCAGUUGAGGGCAGGCGGAAUUCGUGGUGUAGCGGUGAAAUGCUUAGAUAUCACGAAGAACUCCGAUUGCGAAGGCAGCCUGCUAAGCUGCAACUGACAUUGAGGCCCGAAAGUGUGGGUAUCAAACAGGAUUAGAUACCCUGGUAGUCCACACGGUAAACGAUGAAUACUCGCUGUUUGCGAUAUACAGCAAGCGGCCAAGCGAAAGCGUUAAGUAUUCCACCUGGGGAGUACGCCGGCAACGGUGAAACUCAAAGGAAUUGACGGGGGCCCGCACAAGCGGAGGAACAUGUGGUUUAAUUCGAUGAUACGCGAGGAACCUUACCCGGGCUUAAAUUGCAGAUGAAUUACGGUGAAAGCCGUAAGCCGCAAGGCAUCUGUGAAGGUGCUGCAUGGUUGUCGUCAGCUCGUGCCGUGAGGUGUCGGCUUAAGUGCCAUAACGAGCGCAACCCUUGUUGUCAGUUACUAACAGGUUCCGCUGAGGACUCUGACAAGACUGCCAUCGUAAGAUGUGAGGAAGGUGGGGAUGACGUCAAAUCAGCACGGCCCUUACGUCCGGGGCUACACACGUGUUACAAUGGGGGGUACAGAGGGCCGCUACCACGCGAGUGGAUGCCAAUCCCAAAAACCUCUCUCAGUUCGGACUGGAGUCUGCAACCCGACUCCACGAAGCUGGAUUCGCUAGUAAUCGCGCAUCAGCCACGGCGCGGUGAAUACGUUCCCGGGCCUUGUACACACCGCCCGUCAAGCCAUGGGAGCCGGGGGUACCUGAAGUGCGUAACCGCGAGGAGCGCCCUAGGGUAAAACUGGUGACUGGGGCUAAGUCGU
rnacentral:rRNA from 1 species